UUGAAAAGCCCCUUAAGUUAUGAAUUCAAAUUUGCCCCGUGCCCUAGCUUCUUGCAACGCCGAUCCUCUUCCCUAGCCCUCUCCCUCUCGCGACUCACAUCCUUCACCGAGCUCAGCCGACAUCUUCCUUGUCCCGCGCACAAGCACCACGCGGCCGCCAACCUCUUCUUCCCUCACGCGAGCCACACGACCGGCAGUCUCCACUUUUCUGCGAGAGCCUAGCAGCCAUCGGCUCUCGAGCGAGCACCACACAACCGGCCCUCUCACGCGAGCACCCUAGCCGCGACUCUUCUCCCUCGCACGAGCACCACAGAUCGCAGCCGCCGGCCACCCCUCGCGCCAACACCAGAAACGAGCCCGGCCGCUGGUCUCCUCCCUCGCGCGCGAGCAUCGCAGCAGCUGGAGAUUUUGGUCUUGCUCCCUUGCCCGAGCACCCCACAGCUGGCGUUUUCCUCUCCUCGCGCGAGCAUCCAACCCCUUUCUUCCUUCUCCCUCAUGCGAGCAGCAAGGCCGCUGAUCCUCGUCUCUUCGAGCUGUGCCCUAGCUGAUCCGAGAUUCGGAUUGGAUGUGAUCUUUUGGAUCUUGUUAAAGAUGGUGGACACGAGCUACGUAUAAAGACGGGUAACAGAUAGAUGAGUCAUGGAUGCUUGAAGAGAUGCCGGCUGCCAGUCCUGGGUCUUACG